CUGCUAACUCUUCCUUUACAGUCCUGUCUAGAGACACUGCUGGGAGAUAAAGAAAGAGAAGAAUACAACUGUCAUAACCCUUUGUGUGAACUAAGAGAAUGAACUUUUUAGGUCUCUCAAGAAACCAAGUUUAGUGAGGAUGAAGUGGAGAAUUCUCAACUUCAUGCCGGUUUGAAUGGAGAAGUGGUAAAGCAACAUAUGUCAUGUUUAACCCUCCUCUCCAAAAAGUUGGUUAUUUUAAAGCUGACUCAGUUAACUCCACCUGCAGGUUAAUUCCAGUUGUCCAAAUUCUUUUUAUCAGGAAAUCCUAGCUAUCCAAAGGUGUACUCCCUGUAGUCCUGAAUUAGUUUACCCACCACUGAUGAGCUACGCUUAAGGCUAGGGGAACUACAGUUGGGAGGAUUUCCAGAGUUAAGAGUGAUGACAGCGAGAAAGAGGGUAGAAAAGUGAGGGUAAAGGUAGCAGAAGAAAGAAAGAAAGAAAGAAAGAAAGAAAGAAAGAAAGAAAGAAAGAAAGAAAGAAAGAAAGAAAGAAAGAAAGAAAGAAAGAAAGAAAGAAAAAGUUAAGUUGAAGACUGAAAGGAGACGGAUUAAGGGAGAGACAGGACUGCAGAAGGCAGAUCAGGAGUUCAGGGAAAGAAAGCAGGGCAGUAGGGAAGAGAAUGUAGAAUGCAGAGAGGAGAUGGAGAAAAUGGAUAGGAAAGAAGAAGAAAGGCAGGAAGUGGGGCUGUAGCUGUAUGCAAAAGGGGCCUCUUUGGCGCUGUUUCAACACAGCCAAGAACUAUAGGCUCUGAAAACACCAAAACAAACAGUGAGGGAUGGGGACAGCUCCCUCCUCCUGUACUAUGUCAUAAAGCUGAUGCUUUAAUCACCUUCCUUCUCCUCUCUGUGAUUUCUUACUUACUUUUAGGACUGUGUUAGAGCAUAUAUAGGAUGUAUAUGUGAGUCAACGCUGCUCUCAACACUUAGGCAAAAAGAGGGAGAAGCUGUUAAAUGUCCAUUAAGGGAAACAUUGUUUCCACUAUUUGAAUAUUUAGUUACCUUUGAAUGUUUCAUGAGAGAGACCAAAAUUGGAGGACAGAGCUGAAAUUCCAGGGAAAUUGGAAUAGGUUGUUAAUGAGAUGUUGUCAGCCCAGGGAAGAGACCUGACACACUUUCCCCAGGGCAAUGUUGAGCCUUCUUGUAAUUCAGUAAUAAUACAGUGUUGCAGGGUCACUGAUUCAAAUUCGGCCCAGCUGCCCUUCCCCCUCACGACAGAGGGUGACCUAAGGCAACUUUCAGUGGCAUUGUGCAUAGCCAGGCGAAAUCUGAGUGAACCGGAUUGAGCUCCGAAGUACCUAUUCACAAGUCAAAUUCGGCCCCCUAUGAGUGGGUGAGAUUGUGACCUGGUGCUCAGGUUCACAAUACCCAAGAGCAGCCUUUGGUGAUGAAGUUAAAAAUACAGCCCUGAGACUGGCGUGGCUACCGAGGUAAUAUUGUGCUUUAAAAGACCCCCGAUCCCACAAGCACAUCAUCACGGCUAGGUGGCAGUAUUCUCACUAGGGCAAAUGCAGUGGCACUAAGUUCCCUGCAGACCUUAAGCCAUGAAGAUCCUCCAUCGGCUCUUUGCUGUUCUCUUCCUCGUGCUCCUGGAUUCCCUGGGAUUCUCCCAGGCGAGGGUAAGCCCAGCGAAAUGUAGAAGCUUUGGGGGACAAUGUUACCUUAGAUGUCCUGCUAAUUCCAACUACAUUACACAAUGCUACAUCGGUUCCUGCUGCCAAAGAAAUAUUUUGACUGAUUACCUCAGAUGAUCUCCGGGAAUCUGGGAGACAGCCACUUGCUUCUAAAAUCAUCAGAUCCUGCCUCAAUGGAACCUUGAAGGCUCAUUCAUUUGGGCUGAAAAGGACCUUGUGAGGUAGAGAAACUCCAGAAGGGAGCCCUUGUAUUACACAUAUAAAAUUUGUUACUUUCCUUUUAAUAAAAGCAAGCUGGUGUAAGAUCAUCA